rnacentral:rRNA from 1 species
GACGAACGCUGGCGGCGUGCUUAACACAUGCAAGUCGAGCGGAGCGGCGAACGGGUGAGUAACGCGUGAGUAACUGCCCCCCUCUCUGGGAUAACAGUUGGAAACGGCUGCUAAUACCGGAUAGUGGGGGAUGACUCGCGGCCUAUCAGCUUGUUGGUGGGGUAGUGGCCUACCCAGGCGACGACGGGUAGCCGGCCUGAGAGGGCGACCGGCCAAAUGGGGCUGAGAUACAGCCCUAACUCCGACGGGAGGCAGCAGUGGGGAAUAUUGACCAAUGGUGGAAAGCCUGAUGCAGCAACGCCGCGUGCGUGAUGACGGCCUUCGGGUGGUAAACCGCUUUCAGCCAUGACGCGGUAGUGGCAGAAGAAGUACCGGCUAACUACGUGCCAGCAGCCGCGGUAAUUC